GAGCACGUAGGUGGGUUUGUAAGUCAGAUGUGAAAGCCUUCUGUUCAACGGAAGAAUUGCAUCUGAAACUACAAAUCUUGAGUAUAGGAGGGGAGAAUGGAACUUCUGGUGGAGCGGUGAAAUGCGUAGAUAUCAGAAGGAACGCCGGCGGCGAAAGCGAUUCUCUGGCCUAUUACUGACACUCAGUGUGCGAAAGCUAGGGGAGCAAACGGGAUUAGAUACCCCGGUAGUCCUAGCCGUAAACGAUGGGCACUAAGUAGAGGGGUUUU
rnacentral:rRNA from 1 species